CCUACGGGAGGCAGCAGUGAGGAAUAUUGGUCAAUGGACGAGAGUCUGAACCAGCCAAGUAGCGUGAAGGAUGACUGCCCUAUGGGUUGUAAACUUCUUUUAUAUGGGAAUAAAAUGUUCCACGUGUGGGAUUUUGUAUGUACCAUAUGAAUAAGGAUCGGCUAACUCCGUGCCAGCAGCCGCGGUAAUACGGAGGAUCCGAGCGUUAUCCGGAUUUAUUGGGGUUAACGGGAGCGUAGGUGGAUUGUUAAGUCAGUUGUGAAAGUUUGCGGCUCAACCGUAAAAUUGCAGUUGAAACUGGCAGGCUUGAGUACAGUAGAGGUGGGCGGAAUUCGUGGUGUAGCGGUGAAAUGCUUAGAUAUCACGAAGAACUCCGAUUGCGAAGGCAGCUCACUGGACUGCAACUGACACUGAGGCUCGAAAGUGUGGGUAUCAAACAGGAUUAGAUACCCGGGUAGUC
rnacentral:rRNA from 1 species